rnacentral:lncRNA from 1 species
CCAUUUAUACUAAUAUUUGCAAGGUCUCAAAGACAGGAAAUAAAAUAUGUCAAGAUCGGUAUCAAAGACAGGAAAUAAAAUAUGUCAAGAUCUUAUGAGAUUACUAAGCUUAGAUUACUCAAGCUCGACAUUUUGAAUUCAUCCAAACUAAAAAAAAAAAAUCAACUCAUCUAGGAGACAGAUUCAUUUAAGUAACUUCAUCGUCUUCCCUUUCAUAUGUCAAAGUGGUAGAGAAUACCUGAUUACAACAGCAAAGAUAAAUAAAUCCAACAGGAGUGAGGAGUCAGCAAUACACAACCGGAAAAAUAGCACUAGCAGCCACAAUUCAACCCAGGAAAAUUAAUUGGAAAUAAGAGAAAAUUGUUUUAAUUGAGCAAUAACUAAACCACUUCACAACCAAAUUUUAAACAACCAAAUCUGCUCCAUUCCCAUAUUAUAUCUUUGUCCCCCUCUCUAUUUUCAGAAUCUCGAAGGCUUCUCAAUAUUUCAGAAUAUCUUCUUUUUUGACUCUAAACUCUUAUUCUCU